UCUCAGGGUUGCCAAGCGCGAUGGCACAAGUCGCGCUUAGGACGCUAUCCCGUAGGGGUCCGCCGGUUCGAAUCCGGUCCCGCGCA
rnacentral:tRNA from 1 species